UUAAAUUGAAGAGUUUGAUCAUGGCUCAGAUUGAACGCUGGCGGCAGGCCUAACACAUGCAAGUCGAACGGUAACAGGAAGCAGCUUGCUGCUUUGCUGACGAGUGGCGGACGGGUGAGUAAUGUCUGGGAAACUGCCUGAUGGAGGGGGAUAACUACUGGAAACGGUGGCUAAUACCGCAUAACGUCGCAAGACCAAAGAGGGGGACCUUCGGGCCUCUUGCCAUCAGAUGUGCCCAGAUGGGAUUAGCUUGUUGGUGAGGUAACGGCUCACCAAGGCGACGAUCCCUAGCUGGUCUGAGAGGAUGACCAGCCACACUGGAACUGAGACACGGUCCAGACUCCUACGGGAGGCAGCAGUGGGGAAUAUUGCACAAUGGGCGCAAGCCUGAUGCAGCCAUGCCGCGUGUAUGAAGAAGGCCUUCGGGUUGUAAAGUACUUUCAGCGGGGAGGAAGGUGUUGUGGUUAAUAACCGCAGCAAUUGACGUUACCCGCAGAAGAAGCACCGGCUAACUCCGUGCCAGCAGCCGCGGUAAUACGGAGGGUGCAAGCGUUAAUCGGAAUUACUGGGCGUAAAGCGCACGCAGGCGGUCUGUCAAGUCGGAUGUGAAAUCCCCGGGCUCAACCUGGGAACUGCAUUCGAAACUGGCAGGCUUGAGUCUUGUAGAGGGGGGUAGAAUUCCAGGUGUAGCGGUGAAAUGCGUAGAGAUCUGGAGGAAUACCGGUGGCGAAGGCGGCCCCCUGGACAAAGACUGACGCUCAGGUGCGAAAGCGUGGGGAGCAAACAGGAUUAGAUACCCUGGUAGUCCACGCCGUAAACGAUGUCUACUUGGAGGUUGUGCCCUUGAGGCGUGGCUUCCGGAGCUAACGCGUUAAGUAGACCGCCUGGGGAGUACGGCCGCAAGGUUAAAACUCAAAUGAAUUGACGGGGCCCGCACAAGCGGUGGAGCAUGUGGUUUAAUUCGAUGCAACGCGAAGAACCUUACCUGGUCUUGACAUCCACGGAAGUUUUCAGAGAUGAGAAUGUGCCUUCGGGAACCGUGAGACAGGUGCUGCAUGGCUGUCGUCAGCUCGUGUUGUGAAAUGUUGGGUUAAGUCCCGCAACGAGCGCAACCCUUAUCCUUUGUUGCCAGCGAUUAGGUCGGGAACUCAAAGGAGACUGCCAGUGAUAAACUGGAGGAAGGUGGGGAUGACGUCAAGUCAUCAUGGCCCUUACGACCAGGGCUACACACGUGCUACAAUGGCGCAUACAAAGAGAAGCGACCUCGCGAGAGCAAGCGGACCUCAUAAAGUGCGUCGUAGUCCGGAUUGGAGUCUGCAACUCGACUCCAUGAAGUCGGAAUCGCUAGUAAUCGUGGAUCAGAAUGCCACGGUGAAUACGUUCCCGGGCCUUGUACACACCGCCCGUCACACCAUGGGAGUGGGUUGCAAAAGAAGUAGGUAGCUUAACCUUCGGGAGGGCGCUUACCACUUUGUGAUUCAUGACUGGGGUGAAGUCGUAACAAGGUAACCGUAGGGGAACCUGCGGUUGGAUCACCUCCUUACCUUAAAGAAGC
rnacentral:rRNA from 1 species